AGCCGCCCUUGAAUUCUCUUUCUCUCAAUUCUCUCUCUAGGUUCUUCGGAAUCCUAGCCUCCUCCUAACUUUUCUCACCGUGUUUUCUCCGGAAUCCAUAGUUUCUCAGGUCAUGGAUGGUCUAUACUCACCCCUGUCCACCAUCAGACCUUGGAUAUUCAAGGUUUUGAAGUUUGACUUUGAUAGUACUCUUUCAGAUCUUUGGUUCCAUGGCUUCUCCGACAUGCUCUGGCAUAUUCAAGCACGAGAAGCCCGAUUCCUGACCUCAUCGACCCAGGAUCUGACUUUUCCAAGACUUUCUCAUUUCUAAUGUUUCUUUGAAACCCUAAGCUGCUCGAUUUUUAUUCUCUGUUUAUUUUCUUAGAUUUGUGAUGUAUUUGUGUUCUACUGGACAUUUAAAGUAUUUUCCCCAAAUUUUCCUUUUCAAAAUCACUUGUAUUUAGGGUUUCUGAAAAGUUUUUUCAAAAAAAAUCUUUUCUGAUUCUUCUUCUUCUUUUCUUCAUGUGUGUUUGUUUAUAUCAUGCUUCGAUUUAAGGUUUCUAAAAGGUUUUUCAAAAACAACUUUCUGAUUCUUCAUUUUUUUUCUUCAUGUGUGUUUGUUAAUAUCAUGCUCAUGUGUUUCCCUUUUACUACGUGUGUGUUGUUCUUCUGAUUUUCAUUUUCUACUAUACAUGAUACUCAUGUUGCUUUGUGUUCUGCUUUGCCCCUAAGACUAGAUCGGUAUGUUAAUAUUUGCUAUGUUUUCCUACAUGUUCUUCGCUAUACUUUUCAGUAUUAUUCUAGUCUAUGUGUUUUCUGUUGAGUUCUUUAAUUUUUUUCUCUACUGGAGUCUAUCUGUGUUCUUGCUAAGCUUGUUCCAUCUACUGUGGCUUAUGUUUACACCACUUGCUUAAGAUCCGACUUUUUUAAAACAUGCUCUUCUAUGCUCUUAAAUCAGCUUUCUUUCUUUGUUGUUUCAAACCUGCUAUUAUAUUUGUUUUAUUUCUCAUGAGGCUUUGAAACAGACCUUUAAAGUCUGUUUCAAUGGCUUGCCUUCUCAUCUGUAUGACUGAUUCGAUUUGAAACCCUAGGAUUUGGGGAUUUUUCUUUGGCAAGUUUGAUAUGGUGUUUGGACUAGGAUUCUGCAUUGGAACCCUGUACUCUCAGACUUACUUUAAGUCUACAAACUUAACUUGUAACUCUUUUCUUAUGAUUCUAAAUCUCUCAAUAUUAGACUCUUUUCUAAUUAACAUGACGACCCUUUUUGUUUGAUUUUUCUGCAUAAUAUAUAAGAAAUUCUUCUUUCAAAAAGGUUUUGUCAACUAAUAAUUGAUUAUGAAUUCCUUUAAUGGGUUUGAUUAAUUGUUGCUGAUUUCCUUUAAAUUAAACAUUCUUUACCUUUUCCUGACUCGGUCCAUUCAAGUAAAAGCCUGUAACUUUGAUUUUACUAGCUGUUUGAUUGAUUCCCAUUCCUUAUUUUUCACAAAUCAAGUACCACUAGACUUUUGCCUUAAAUAACUCCUAUGUAUUUACCCUUAUUGUACUGCUUGAGAACAUAUUCUGAUUAAUUCUUUCCUUAAUUGUCUUUAUUCAUUUGAAAUCAGUGUCCCUUAAUUAAAGGGAGAUUGAUUUCAAUGUUAUUUCCUUACCUUUUCUUACUUGCUUGCUGCACUAUAAAAGGGGCACGACCCUUCUAUACUUGGACACACAUCGAUUAUUGAACUCUUAAAAUUCAAUAUUCUCACACUCUCAAUUACAAUACCCUUUCAAUACUCUACUCUCUUCUGAGAUCUUUGUACUGUUUGCUUGCAACUUGGCUUUUCAAGACUACUGUUUUACUUAUUUAUUUCCCUAAUACUGGUAUGUCUCAAUUUUGAUUUUAGUUUCCUCCCUAUGUGUUUACUUUACAGUUGCCUUACUCUGGUAUGCUUUGUUGUUUAUGUUCAAUAUUGACUAUGCAUGUUCUUUUCUUGCACAUGUCUCUAUUUUGAAUCCCUACUCCUACUCCGAUCUAUGUGUUUGAGUUAAGGUUCAUGCCUGGUAGUACUCAAAUUACUGCCUAAGUCUGAACGUGAUCCUCAAUGGAUCCUAACUCCUAAGAUUUGGCUAACAAGUAGGCCAGGGGUGUGCCAGCAUUCUUAAUUGCUGGGCAUGACCACCAUCCUUCCAUGGCCAUCCCUAACUUCCUUCUAUGCACUUACACUUACUCUUAGACUCUAAGUUCUGCCCCUCCUCCUAUGAGCCUUGCUUUGGGCCUUGAGUUCCCUCUGAACUUGGACAUUUGAGGGUUGGCCCUUUCACACUGCGCUAUAAUCUAAUUCUACAAUGUAUUUGGGGUGUAAGCACUGCCUGGAGUCCACUUGAGGCUCUUCGGAACUUUGACACAUCCUAAAUAAGAGAAAGGCUUUGGAAAUCUAAUUCUGGAAGUUAUCUCAUAUUAUUAGAC
rnacentral:lncRNA from 1 species